AAGGUUAUGGAUUCUUGGGAUGAAGACCACAGAAGGAAAGUGCCAUUGUUCGUUUCUUCACUGUAAAGUUGCUUUUUCUACUCUUUUCCAUACUGUGUCCUUUGGAAGGAAGUCACUGUGUACAGUCCAUACUUAUGGAGUGGGGAGGCUUUUCUGGGAAUCUGAUUUCAUGGAGCCUGCUAUUUGACACCACUUCCUCGAUGUUAAGCCCGAUUUGGAUUCCUCCACCUUGAAGACUCUCUUCACUAAGAAACUGAUGUAGGAACUGUUCUUGGAGAAAGAGGCUGGUAUGAUGAGAGAAUCAAGAGUCAGAUGAAUCCUCUUCCUAAAGGUCCUCCAACUAUGAAGUAGUGAACUGGGGGCUGAAACCCCCCUCUCUCACUCUCAGUUGGUGCUCUUCGGUUCUGAACUUAAGAGGCUGCUAUGGUUUAGAAGAAAGAACUGAGGUGGCCAUUUGUUGAUUUUAUCACUGAAAUAUGGAACUUCUUCCAGACUUACCUUCCUCAUUCCUACAAUAUUGGAUAAUAAUAUUCUCCUCACAGAGCUGUCUCAAGUAUUGAAGAAGAUUGUGGAUAUAAAGUACUUUUAGAACGCCAUGUUCGUGGGAGUUGUCAAACAUAAGCGAAUUAUACCAAGACAGUGGAAGGAGAACUGAGAGAAACGAUAACUGACAAGGUAAGCUGAUUUAAAUAUUUAUUGAUUUCAUUUCAACAAAUAAUGAUUAUUGUGAUAUUACUUGCAGUCAUUUGGUGCAUGUGUAAGAGGAGGAGGCGGGGCAGUUUUGCUUAACAGUCUGUUUUGCCCCUUUAUCUUUUAUCAGGCAAGUUCUGUCUUCCAUCAACUCCUUGUAACUCGGUUUAAGUCUCUUUCUUCUAAGAACAGAGGGAUCCCCUAGGAAGUAGACAUAUAAAUGAGAAUUGAUUUUAAGUUUCAGAUGUUUACCUUGUUUCUGAGUAAGGGAGUGCUUGCCCUUCAACUUUCAGUCUAUUCAAAAUCCCUAUAUGCAGCCAAUAUUAAGUGUUUCCUGUAUACCACUUGAUGAGCACUGGGAAUAGAGGGGUGAAUAUUAUGGAGACGUUCCUUGUGCCUGUAUAGCAUGCAUUCGAAUGUCAGAAACUAGGUAAUACAUGCAUAGAGAUGUUGCAUCGUAAUGAAAGAAAAUGUGUACUGAUAUUUAAGUGUCAUGAAGAAGACAGACUAAGGUAAUGUGAUAGAGGAUAACUGGGGGCAUGUGAGCUGUUUUAAAUUGAGUGAUCUUGGGAGUUCCCUGAUGGCCUAGUGGUUAAGGGCUUGGUGUUGUCACUGUUGGGCAACUGUUGUCACUGUUGGGGCUUGGGUUUGAUCCUUGGCCUUGGAACAUCACAUGAUGUGGGCAUGGCCAAAAAAUAAAAAUAAAGAGAGAAAGAAAGAAAAAAAGAGGUCUUGGAGGCUCUUUCUGAAGGAGAAUAUUGAUGUUGAGACACAAAUGACAAGUAAGAGGCAGUAUGAAUGGUUGAGAGGACAGAAUGUUCUAGUUGAACUGAGAAGCAAGUGCAAAAGCCCUGAGGUGGGAGCAUACCUUAUGAUCAAGGUAAGCAAGGAAUGGUUGAGUAAUUUUAGAGAAAAGCCUAAAUGCUAUUUCAUUUGACAUUUUAAAAAUUAUAUUGGGUCUAAAUUUAUGCUCUUAAAUGGUUCCAGAGUGCUUGGAAAUUGAAAGUUCAUUAAUGAAAAUUCUCAUUGGAUUAGGACUUUGGAAAUGGGUUAUUGCUUAAACAUAUUUCAAAUGAUUAUGGUGAAAAAUUACAUUUCACAAAUUGGUUAAGAAUUUUAGUAACAAUCAAGCCACUUCUGUUGAGUGAAAACCUACUAGGUGCUGUGUGUACUGUGAACAGGCUCUAUGAGAAAAUAUGAGUUAACAUAAGAUAGAACUUUUAACCUGAAGAUGAGCAGAGUUGAGAUGCUGGGAAGAUGUGUAAGCCCACAAAAAGAUGACUAAUGACACAAAUUCAUAACAAGUUCAAAUAAAUCAUGACAUACUAACAAGGAAAGCAAGGGUGCUUACACCUCACAGUGCACAGGGUGGCUUCUUGAAGGAAAUGAAAUUGGAACUGGGAGGAAGAAUUAAGUGGCCAGAGCCUGGCAGAGUUUGUGGUAAUGAGCAGAAGUGAUGGGAAGCAGUGACAUAUCAAAGACUUAGGUCUUUCUUCCUUUUCUUCAUACCAUGAAGCUGAAUAAAAGUUUCACAAUUUGAUUUUUGC